CUCAACUUCGUGCAGGGAGCUGCGGGAAGACGAAGGGGGGAAGGUUUACGUGGAAGUACUGGGGGUAAAGGGUGCGUAGGUGGGUGGUUAAGGCUGAUGGGAAAGCCCUGGGGUCAACCUGGGAAUGGCGUUGGAUACUGGCAGGCUAGAGUGCGGUAGAGGGUAGUGGAAUUCCCGGUGUAGCAGUGAAAUGCGUAGAGAUCGGGAGGAACAUCUGUGGCGAAGGCGACUACCUGGACCAGCACUGACACCGAGGCACGAAAGCGUGGGGAGCAAACAGGAUUAGAUACCCGAGUAGUC
rnacentral:rRNA from 1 species